AUUAUGAAUUUGAUUGACCAAUGGUCGUAAACACACCCAAUAGUUAAUGAGUUUGUUGGCAUUGAGGGAAAAAUAUUGAAUCGGAAACGGAAAUGAUGAAGGACACGAAUUGUUAUGAUGAGAAAGAGACACCAAGGGAAAUUGAUGAUAACCAUGAGAAUUUGGAAUAAGUAUUAAAGAUUAUGAGCCAACAACUUGUCAUGUUCCAUGGUGGUUGAUAUGGUGAACAAGGAGAAGAAAAGAAAGAGAGAAAAGGGAGGAAAGAAGAAAGAAGAGAAGAAAAAGAGAAAAAGAAAAAUUCGACAGAGAAGAAAAAUCGAAAGAGAAAACGAAAGAGAUUCUGUUAUUUUCUCGCCUUCUUUUCUUUGGUUAAUGUUUGUUACGCACAACAUUUUCCUCUUUAUUUUUAAUUCUUAAUUUUGUUUAUUUAUUUUCUUAUUUAAGUUAAUUAACCUUUUUCACCAUCUUCUCCUUUUAAUUGUAGUCAUUUCAAUUAAUUGUCGGUUAUUCAUUUAACUGAUUGUCUCUUUUUUAGAAAUUUACAUUUUUGCUUUUUCUUUUUCUAUUCAUCUCAUAACAUUGGAUUUACCAUUUGACUACAAUACUCUUCAUCUCUUGUGUUAAUCUCUUCAUCUAUUUACCUGAUUAAUUGGUUCUCUAAGAUGAUAAUCUUACUGAUCGUUUUGGGUUGAUGUCAAUUCAAAUUGGGCGAAAAUUAAUUCUCUCCAUUAAAGUCUCUUAAUCCAUUGAGCGUUUCUAACAUUGACUUUGAUUGGAAAACAAAAACAAUUUUCUGGAAAAUUCUAAAUUCUAUAUAUCCAAUUAUGGUUCAUUCUUUCGAGGAAAUGGAAGAAUAUGAUGUUUAUCCAAAAGAAUCUUCUGACAAUCAUCUUCCUGUUAUUAAUUAUGGUUCAUCUUCAAUGAAAAAGAAUCGUCUGGUUCGUCAGGAUGCUUUCGAUUGUGUUGAGCCCCCAGGCUCUCAAAUGGCUCAAAAAGGUUUACCAGAUAAACCAAAGGAACAAUAAAAAAAUGGAGGCCAAAGUGGAAAUUGAAAUUCACCAAUAACAAUACAUUAUUUUCAGUCGUUUUUAUUAUAUCCUUCAUCCUCAUCAUCAUCAUUAUAAUUCAUCGAUGGUCAUUGGUAAAAAUGAAACCAUAACCCUUUCACCUAUGGAAACAUGAACAUGAUUGAAAUGAGUAAUCCAAAUUGUUUUAGAUAAUUUCAAUUCUUGACCAUCUUACUGCCUACACAAUUUACUCAUUCUCAUGAUACAAUAAUUUUGUUUGGUCUGCAUUUCAAUCAAUGUUUACAUGUUCACGUUCAAAUGUCAAUGGUGUUUCAUCCUCAUCAUCAUCUUUAUUCUGGUCAUUUUCACAUAAUCAACUGCUCAUCUCUAUAAUCUGUUGAUUCUCAGUAAUUCUUGGGAUAAAGAAAAACAUUCCUCAUCAAUUAUUUAUCCAUGAAUCUUCCAAAAAAUUAACUAAUUACUGUUAGUUCGUCAUUUUAUAUAUUUAAUCACCUCAACACCUUAUAAAAUUCAUCGCCAGUAAUUUAAGAGCUUCUUUGGUAGCAAUAGAUAUUAUUCUUGAUUAGUUAUCAUGAAACAAUGAUCAACGGAAUCGUUUUAAUCAAUUUAUCUUCCGCUUUAAUCACAAAUUCAGCUAAUUCACUCAUCAAUUCACGUUCUAAAUCAUAUUAGUUACAGUUUCAUGGUUAAUCCUUAAUCAUUGCUGCAUAGUGACAAUGAUUAACAUUAACAAUUUCAAUCUGAAUCUCGAUCAAUUAGUUAAUUAUCCACAUAGAAUUGAUCAGUUGUUAAUUUGUCUCCUUGUUUAAACUCAAUUUACUCUCUUAAACUAACAAUAAUUGUCUCUCAUUAGAUUUAGCUCAAACAAUAUCAAUACAAUUAACCGAAAUUCUAACUAAAUUAACAAAGCAAUAGAAAAGACAAAACAGUUUGAUCAGCAUGUUGAUUAAUCAAUUGAAUUUAAUUACUGUUACUCUUAAAAAACUAAUUAUUACCAUGUUAUCCUCAUAUAAUCUUAUUCCAAAUGCAUUUUUAGUGAUUAACUAAUUGUUAUUUUGACAAUUUGUUAAACAAUUAAUAGAAUUGAAAAUCUAAAUUCAACAAAACAAAUGAAACCUGUACCUUAUACUAAGGAUUUAACAAUUAACUUAUUAAUUAGAUGAUAAAGAAAAAGACUCAAGAGUGAAAACAAAUCUUUUUGUUGUUUUUAAUUAAUUUUUAAUUGUACAAUUAGAUUAGAGAUUAUCUAACACUAUCCCAAUGUUAAUCCUAAAUGAUUUAAUUGUUGAAACAAAAAGAAAACCUUAAAAAAACUUAUAUUGUAAUAAAAAUAUUGAUACAAUGAUUUAA